GGGCCCGUAGCUCAGCAUGGUAGAGCGUCCGGCUCAUAACCGGAAGGUCCCGGGUUCGAAUCCCGGCGGGCCCA
rnacentral:tRNA from 3 species